GACAGUGUGUGUCAAACGCUGCAGUCUGAGCUGAACUUUCCUAAGCCUGAGAUCUCCUCCAUCAGCCCCAGCAUUGUGUCUUUCUAUGGAAGAAACCACGCAGUGUUGUCAGGUGGUAACCUCAGCGGUGUGACCGGAGUGAGGAUGCAGGCAGACCUGGACUGUACGCCACAGGAGUCUCCUGUCUGGAACAACAGCGGCUCCAGUUUGACCUUCCACAUUCCCAGAGCAAAC